rnacentral:rRNA from 1 species
GACGAACGCUGGCGGCGUGCUUAACACAUGCAAGUCGAACGGAAAGGCCCUGCUUUUGUGGGGUGCUCGAGUGGCGAACGGGUGAGUAACACGUGAGUAACCUGCCCUUGACUUUGGGAUAACUUCAGGAAACUGGGGCUAAUACCGGAUAGGAGCUCCUGCUGCAUGGUGGGGGUUGGAAAGUUUCGGCGGUUGGGGAUGGACUCGCGGCUUAUCAGCUUGUUGGUGGGGUAGUGGCUUACCAAGGCUUUGACGGGUAGCCGGCCUGAGAGGGUGACCGGCCACAUUGGGACUGAGAUACGGCCCAGACUCCUACGGGAGGCAGCAGUGGGGAAUAUUGCACAAUGGGCGGAAGCCUGAUGCAGCAACGCCGCGUGCGGGAUGGCGGCCUUCGGGUUGUAAACCGCUUUCGCCUGCGACGAAGCGUGAGUGACGGUAAUGGGUAAAGAAGCACCGGCUAACUACGUG